UUGUUAGGCAACAUCUGAUAAAUCAGUAAAGCAGUUGAAGUUUGUUUCAUAGAAAAACUGCUAAUACAUGGAUACACAUUGUAUAUAUGUUAUGUUCAAGAUUUCACCGUCUAUGUAUGUAUUUACAGAUUUACAGAAGUCGUCGCAAAAGACAAAGUAAUCCAUUACUAUGUUGGCGGCAAUCAUCUUGACUAUCUUUAUUACCGUUGUAAUUUUGUGACAUUUGAGGCUUUCUGUUGAAGUAGGAGAAAUGUCUUUAGUAGUUGAUGUAGAGUAUAUUUGCAACAGUAUAAUAAUAUCAAUAAGAGUAUUGGGCCCUCUCUUCAAACUAACUUUUCAAAAAGAUAGUGCAGGGACCAAAUGUAGCAGUCAAAUUUUCUGCAAAAACAAAUGAGAAGAAUGAAAGAAAAUACACAGCUAUAAAUAAAAUAUCUAAAUAUCUGUUGGGGAAAACACUAUGUAUUGAUUUAAGAUGUAAGAAUAUUUAAAGGUACAGUAAGACAGCUACUAUGCAUUGGCAUGCAUAAAUCACAACUUUAAAACUAUAAUCUUUUCCUCUUUAUAUAAGUUCCCAAACCACAAUAUCAAUAAUGAAGAAAUUAGAAGAUUCAACUAUUGAGCAAUGUAAAAUAAAUGAAAUUCAGAUACCUGUUAAAUGAGUUGCGACCAAUUCUUCUUCAACUUCAAGUAUAACGGGCUGGGAAGAUCACUGAAAGGCAACGAUGCGUCAAUCUUCAAUUCCGGAAUGAGCGAUCAAAUUGCACCUUCAAAAUGUUCAUGAAACGUACAAAAGAGAUCAUUUCAUGUAAUGGAGGUGACCAAGGUUUCCUUAAUGAAGUAUUUGUAUGGUGGCAUAAGUUGCCUAGAAGGGUUAAUUUCUUAAAGAACUUUUGGUCAAAUAAUUCGAAUGAGGUCAGCGUUAAGAAUCAACUAUUCGGGGCAGAUCCUCCAAAGGUAUACUCUAUACAUUAUCUCGGGUUAAAGCCAUGGGUGUGUUAUAGGGACUACGAUUGUAACUGGGACAUAGGUGAUCAACGUAUUUAUAAAUUAUGCUAGUGAUAUCGCGCACGAGACAUGGUGGAAACUACAUGACUCAAUGGAUGAGAGUUUACAAAAAAUUUGUGGGUUGACAGAGCAAAGGAAAAUUGAAUUAGAAUGGGAUAGAAAAUUGGCUGGAAAAACUGGAUUUAAAGAUGAACAUUGGAGGAUUAAUGUUACUGAUCCUAGAAAAUUUUCUUGAUUUUUUUUUUCAUUUAAUAUGUAUGCUAAUGCUACUAUAUAUAGUAGUACUUUUGCACAGAGUACUUAUGAACAUGGCCUUCAUGCACUAUUUAUUCAUGUGUAUAUAGAGGAUGCUUGUUCUUCAUUUUUGGAACAUUAUGACUGCAGAGUCACUGUUAAGAUGAUAUGCUCCUUUUCGGGGUUAGGGUUCAAUCAAAUUAACACUAAUUGCUCAAAUUUCGAUAGAGUUAAUUCCCUUUUGAUUGAAAAACAUACAAAUUCCUUGAUAUUCAUUCUUAUUUUCAAGAUUGCUCUUUGAGCUCACUUCACCUUUUUCAUCCGGGUAUUGAAAUUUUUGGCAGAUUUGUAUUUUCAAUUUGCACUAAUUUGAUUGCUUUUCGGAUUUUUACCAACAAAAAAAUGAAAACUUUUUGUAAUUCUAUAUAGAGAAAAUGGUCUAAACCCCCCCCCCCCAACCUAUACCCGAAAUCUCAACUACACACUCCAACUUAAAACGCAAUAACCACGCACUUGACACGUGUUUUUCACCAAUUAAUCCUUUUUAAUUAUUUUUUCUCCUUCUUCUUUAUCCUUUCUUCUUCAAUUAUUUUUCAACCUUAAUUCUUUGUGAAAGUUUCGAUUUAAAAUAAUAUUGAGGGAUUUGAAUCCAACUUGGGAGAUUUUUUAUUUUUUUUUGGUGAAGAUUUAAUUACCUAGUGUAGUUGUAGAGAAAUGUAGACUUGCCACCUUCUCCAUCCUUUUCUUCAACCCCGCCUCCUCCAUCCUUUUCUUCAAUCCGCGGCGGCAGAUUUUGAAUAGAGAUCUAAUCCUUGGUUUCCGCCUUUUAUCACCUUCCAUCUCUUCACCAUUAACUCUUUCACUUUCUUCACUUGCUCAAAGUUUUAACCCAAAAAAUAUUUGUUGUCUUGUCAAUCAAAUUGAAUACAAAGUUUAGUCUUCUAUAACAAAUAAAUUUAAUCUAAACCCUCUUUAGUAUAUAAAGUAGUUGAAUUUAUAUUCAACAGUAAAAAAAAAGUAUCUUUCUUCAAAAAGUUAAGAACAUUGUUAUGUAAAGACACAAAAUCUUAUCAAGAGAAGAAAAAGUUUGAUGGUUUGGUUUAGAUUACAAAUUUAUUCUUUACAAAGAUUAAAAAUUAAUUAGGAGAUGAAUUCCAAAAAAGAUUGCCGAAAAAUCUUCAAACUCCGACCAUGGCAAAAUUUAGAUCAGAAAAAUAGCUUAGAUAAUAAGAAAGAGAAAGAAAACAAUGAAAAAAGAAAGAGAAAAAACGAUCAAAAAGAAAAAUAAGAUAAAAAAUAGUCAGCUCGAAUGCACUCUCCGUGCUAACUCAGCAUUUCAGGAGUUAUUUAUUUCAUUUUUAAAUAGUCCAGGGAGUGAUAGGACACCCGUAAAGUUGGAGUGUGUAGUUGGAAUUUCGGAUAUAGGUUGGAGGGGUUUUGGACCAUUUUCUCUUCUAUAUAUAUGUAAAACUAAUAACGACCAAAACUUCAAAACCUCAUAGAAUUAAUUGUCAAAUGCAUAGGAGUAAAUAAGAAACUCCAUCUUCUUUUUGUUCUUUGCUUAUUUAAUAAACCCAUUCUACUAAAUCUAAAAAAUUGUUAUUCUUCCUAAAGAUCAAAAUUGAAUUUGAAGAUGAAGAGGAUUGAAAGGAAAAAAUACGAAACUUUACAAAUUCAUUCAAUCAGAAAAAAAAUAGUGAAAAAAAAUGAUGAUGACGAAAAAAUUGAAGGUUAAGAGACCAAAAAAAUAAAGAAGUACCUGAGAAUUGCAGCAGUUGAAUGGAUUUGAGAAAAAUGGAAGAUGAAGAAAGUUUGGAGAUUUGGCAAAUGAAUGGAUUUUGAUGAAAGGGAUAAAUCGGAAAAAAUUUAUGGUGGUAGAGGCACAAGUAUGACAUGGUGUGUG
rnacentral:lncRNA from 1 species